UUAAGCUAUAAAGAGCAUAGGGUGGAUGCCUAGGCACUGAGAGCCGACGAAAGACGUGAUAAGCUGCGAUAAGCUGCGGUAAGGAGCAAAUAUCCAUUGACCCGCAGAUUUCUGAAUGGGGAAACCUACGCAAGAAGACCUUGCGUACUCAUACAUGAAUACAUAGUGUAUGAGAGGGAACCCGGGGAACUGAAACAUCUAAGUACCCGGAGGAAGAGAAAGAAACAUCGAUUUCCUGAGUAGCGGCGAGCGAAAGGGAAAGAGCCCAAACCAGAGGAUUUAUCCACUGGGGUUAGGACUGCAUAAUUGAUCUGCAAUUGAUAGGAGAACGGUCUGGGAAGUCCGGCGAGAAAGCGUGAAAGCCGCGUAUCCGAAAUCGAAAGCAGCAAGGCAGGAUCCAGAGUACCACGAGACACGAGAAACCUUGUGGGAAUGAGCGGAGACCACUCCGUAAGGCUAAAUACUACUCAGUGACCGAUAGCGCAUAGUACUGUGAAGGAAAGGUGAAAAGGACCCCGGGAGGGGAGUGAAAGAGAACCUGAAACCCUGUGUUUACAAGCUGUCGAAGCACGCAAGUGCGACGGCGUACUUUUUGUAGAACGGUCCGGCGAGUUAUGAUGAGUGGUAAGGUUAAGGACUUAAGGUCCGGAGCCGAAGCGAAAGCGAGUGUUAAAAGCACGGUUGAAUCGCUUAUCAUAGACCCGAAACCGGGUGAUCUAUCCAUGUCCAGGUUGAAGCUGCCGUAAGAGGUAGUGGAGGACCGAACACACAUCCGUUGAAAAGGGUGGUGAUGAGGUGUGGAUAGGGGAGAAAUUCCAAUCGAACCCGGAGAUAGCUGGUUCUCCUCGAAAUAGCUUUAGGGCUAGCCUCUGGUUAGUCUGCCGCAGGUAGAGCACUGAAUUUCCUAGGGGGCGUCAAAGCCUACCGAAGAAUAUCAAACUGCGAAUGGCGGACAGAUGAUGCCAGGGAGUCAGACUGCACGAGAUAAGUUGGGUGGUCAAAAGGGAAAGAGCCCAGACCUACAGCUAAGGUCCCAAAGUGUGUGUUAAGUGGAAAAGGAUGUGGGAUUUCGAAGACAACUAGGAUGUUGGCUCAGAAGCAGCCACACAUUAAAAGAGUGCGUAAUAGCUCACUAGUCGAGAGGUCCUGCGCCGAAAAUGUCCGGGGCUAAAACACAACACCGAAGCUUAGGAAUUCUAAUGAAUUGGUAGAGGAGCAUUGAAGACGGAACGAAGCCAUACCGUAAGGAAUGGUGGACUGUCUUGAAGAGAGAAUGCCGGAAUGAGUAGCGAGAUUGAAGUGAGAAUCUUCAAGGCCGAAUAUCUAAGGUUUCCAGGGUAAAGCUGAUCUGCCCUGGGUAAGUCGGGGCCUAAGGCAAGGUCGAAAGACGUAGUCGAUGGAUAACAGGUUGAAAUUCCUGUACUGCAUCAAAUCAGAAAUGUGGGGACACAUGAGGGAAGCAUGAGCCGGAAAAGGAAAGUCCGGUACAAGCGCAGCAGAGGACAGAUAGGCAAAACCGUCUGUCAACUCAAGGGCGUGAUGUGGAGCGAACCAAAGUAGCGAAGCAUGUGGAGCUUGUGUCGAGAAAAGCCGCUAUAGUGUUUGAUGUACCCGUACCGUAAACCGACACAGGUGGAUGAGGAGAGAAUCCUAAGGCCGGCGGGAGAAGCAUUGUUAAGGAACUCGGCAAAAUGACCCCGUAACUUCGGGAGAAGGGGUGCUCCAGAGAUGGAGCCGCAGAGAACUGGCCCAAGCAACUGUUUAGCAAAAACACAGGUCUAUGCAAAACCGAAAGGUGAGGUAUAUGGGCUGACGCCUGCCCGGUGCUGGAAGGUUAAGAGGAGAUGUUAAUCGCAAGGUGAAGCAUUGAAUUUAAGCCCCAGUAAACGGCGGCCGUAACUAUAACGGUCCUAAGGUAGCGAAAUUCCUUGUCGGGUAAGUUC
rnacentral:rRNA from 1 species